CGCCUAACACAUGCAAGUCGAACGAAGUAGCAAUACUUAGUGGCAGACGGGUGAGUAACAUGUGGGUAUCUACCCUUUGGCCUGGAAUAACACGAGGAAACUUGUGCUAAUACCGGAUAAGUCUUUACGGAGAAAGCUUUAUGCACCAUUGGAUGAGCCCGCACUUGAUUAGUUUGUUGGUAGGGUAACGGCCUACCAAGACUUUGAUCAAUAGCUGAUUUGAGAGGAUGAUCAGCCACAUUGGGACUGAGACACGGCCCAAACUCCUACGGGAGGCAGCAGUGGGGAAUCUUGCACAAUGGAGGAAACUCUGAUGCAGCGAUGCCGCGUGAGUGAAGAAGGCCCUUGGGUUGUAAAGCUCUUUCGUCGGGGAAGAAAAUGACUGUACCCGAAUAAGAAGGUCCGGCUAACUUCGUGCCAGCAGCCGCGGUAAUACGAAGGGACCUAGCGUAGUUCGGAAUUACUGGGCUUAAAGAGUUCGUAGGUGGUUGAAAAAGUUGGUGGUGAAAUCCCAGAGCUUAACUCUGGAACUGCCAUCAAAACUUUUCAGCUAGAGUUUGAUAGAGGAAAGCAGAAUUUCUAGUGUAGAGGUGAAAUUCGUAGAUAUUAGAAAGAAUACCAAUUGCGAAGGCAGCUUUCUGGAUCAUUACUGACACUGAGGAACGAAAGCAUGGGUAGCGAAGAGGAUUAGAUACCCUCGUAGUCCAUGCUGUAAACGAUGUGUGUUAGACGUUGGAAAUUUAUUUUCAGUGUCGCAGCGAAAGCGAUAAACACACCGCCUGGGGAGUACG
rnacentral:rRNA from 1 species